rnacentral:rRNA from 1 species
ACAGCAGUCGCCACGGUAAUACAGAGGGUGCGAGCGUUAAUCGGAUUUACUGGGCGUAAAGCGUGCGUAGGCGGCUUCUUAAGUCGGAUGUGAAAUCCCUGAGCUUAACUUAGGAAUUGCAUUCGAUACUGGGAAGCUAGAGUAUGGGAGAGGAUGUUAGAAUUCCAGGUGUAGCGGUGAAAUGCGUAGAGAUCUGGAGGAAUACCGAUGGCGAAGGCAGCCAUCUGGCCUAAUACUGACGCUGAGGUACGAAAGCAUGGGGAGCAAACAGGAUUAGAUACCCCUGUAGUCCCUGUCUCUUAUAC